GCGUCGAGCGGCGGACGGGUGAGUAACGCGUGAGAAUCUGCCCAUUUGUGGGGGAUAACUCGGGGAAACUCGAGCUAAUACCGCAUAAUCCCUACGGGGGAAAGCAGGGGACCUUCGGGCCUUGUGCAGAUGGAUGAGCUCGCGUCGGAUUAGCUUGUUGGUGAGGUAAAGGCUCACCAAGGCGACGAUCCGUAGCUGGUCUGAGAGGAUGAUCAGCCACACCGGGACUGAGACACGGCCCGGACUCCUACGGGAGGCAGCAGUGGGGAAUCUUGGACAAUGGGGGCAACCCUGAUCCAGCCAUGCCGCGUGUGUGAAGAAGGCCUUCGGGUUGUAAAGCACUUUCAGUAGGGAGGAAGGCUUACCGCUAAUAACGGUGAGUACUUGACGUUACCUACAGAAGAAGCACCGGCUAAUUUCGUGCCAGCAGCCGCGGUAAUACGAAAGGUGCGAGCGUUAAUCGGAAUUACUGGGCGUAAAGCGCGCGUAGGCGGUUUGUUAAGUCAGAUGUGAAAGCCCCGGGCUCAACCUGGGAAUUGCAUUUGAAACU
rnacentral:rRNA from 1 species